CGCUCGGCUGCAACCCUGGCAUGAUGAUGUAUGGUGGACAUGAAUGAAGACCCGCAUAGCGACCGCGAGCCAAGCUUGGCGAUGUGAUCACGCGGCCUUGCCUGUCACGCAGACGCAGCGAACCAUGCGACCAAGCGGGUUCUAGCCUCCUACUACGCAGGUAGAUGCGAUCAGGCGAAGCGGUGGUGGACUGUUCGUGAGCCAUACCAGUGAAACGGAUUUGCCGGGAUUGAAGGAGGCAAUCAAUUAUCAGUUCAAUGGAGAAUUCAUCGCGGGUGAUGUGCGCCACUCGCCGACGGCAAUUAAUGGAGCUUGGAUUCACUCCAAGGCUGCAACCUGGCAUCAUCUGCUCCAACAUUGUUGUCUGCCGCCGGCACACUCCUUUUUGCCUACGAUAUCCUUCUCUAUGUGCAACGGACGGUGGUUCUGGUUGCAUCCUCAAACAAGGGUGUUGGAUUCAAUGGCUCAAAAGUCCUUACUGUUUUCUUCGGAUCCUCUAUUUGCCAAUAGCCUGUCAGCCAUGAGACCAACUGUGGAUGGUUUACGUCUGUGGAAAAAAUUAUAGGGCUCUAGAAGAAUUGUUUCAGGGUGUUAUGUGAGUAGAAGGAAACUCAGCGACCUUCUUGAUGGUAAUUGUGAACAAACCUUAUAAGGAAGAUAUCUUGUUGCAUAACUUGCAUAAGUUUGGGACAAACUGAAACUUGAGGUGCCUUUUCUACUUUCCUAUCUAUAGCAGAACACAUAGCUGAAACUAUAGGCAAAAAAGGAUUCUCACAACAGAAAUCAUUAACUAUGUACUGACAGAAUUAUAUUUUUCUUCCAAAUUUAUCAAAUUACUUUCCUCUCUGCCCCAGUGUUUUUUUUCUAUAGGCUUUCCAACUAAUGGUUGAUUAGGGGUAAGGAAUCCCACUGCCAAUAAUUAUAUGUUUGGUCCAUAUCUUUUACCUCGUGUAAGGUUGAAAAUCCGCAGGUAGCAUUGGUUGAUGAAACAGACUUGCACUCACCAACUGUCUUAUCAAAUGUCGUGCCAUAUACUCAAAAUUUGUGUCAUGUGAAUUAUCUAAAUAUGGAGUAAAGUUAUCUGAAUAUA